rnacentral:misc_RNA from 1 species
AUUCAAUAAGCAAUGCAUGACUAAAAUAGUAUAAAACCUUAAUACAUAAUGAUUAUUUAGAUAAAGAAACUAUUUCUUUUUUUUCAAUUUCAGUAACUAUUUGAAACAAAGGUAUGGAAUUUCAGAAACAUUUAAAAUAAUGACAUUGCCACAUGCACUGCAAAGAGACAGCAUAUCGUGUGGAGUCUUUUGUCUUAAAGUAAUGUGAAAUACUUUUUAUUUUUUCACAAUUUUUAUAAAAGAUAUAUAGUUCCGUUAUUUUUUAUUCAUCAUAAAGAUAGCAGCAAAUAUCUUCAAAGUCUAAUCAAAAGCUGCAUCAGUUAUUUUUUAUAAUGAAUCUGGAUAGUGAUGCAAUAAUAAGACUAAACCCAAAUAAUAUUGAUGCAAAUGAGCAGUGCUCAUUAACGGUAUACCAAUUGAGCUAUCCAGUAACUAAAUAAAUACAGCUCUAUUACCAUAUAUGCCUACCAACAAAUUUUUAAUUCGAGUGUUCAUUGUUUAGAGGCAACUUCAGACUCUUGUUAUCUCCUCCUCCCCCCCUCCCUAUCAUCCACUUUGAAAAAUUAUCACAAAUUUUUUAGGUAGCUCAACCUAAGCCGAGUUUAAUAAAACAUUCGUUAUAGUUAAGAGUUCUAAAUUAAAAUUUUUUAGUUUGCUAAAAACUUUAUGAAUGGAGAAGAGUUGGCAAUGUCCUUUCCUUUAGAAGAAGUAGUUCUAUAUCGAAACAAGGUGGUGCACUAUCUUAUAGAUAGAGGAGGUCAACAUAAUUGGAAAGAUGUUUUGUGUCGCAUAUGUGGUAAUGCAAAAGGACCGAAAAAAUAUAAAAAGCAAAUAAUAGAUAAAUGAAUUAAGUGUGAUAAAUGCUUACCAAGUCACAUGGACUGCAUUCCAAAUGUAACAGAAAGCAGCAAAUCGUUUACCUGCACAAACCUUUCUCAAAACAAUCAAUUAAAUUAAAUAAUAACAGUUAAAAUAAAGAUCCAUAAUUAAAACAUUAAAUAACAAUUUUUUAAAGUAAUUUUUAAUAAAAUUAUUU